rnacentral:rRNA from 1 species
AACGAACGCUGGCGGCAGGCCUAACACAUGCAAGUCGAACGCCGUAGCAAUACGGAGUGGCAGACGGGUGAGUAACACGUGGGAACGUACCCUUCGGUUCGGAAUAACUCAGGGAAACUUGAGCUAAUACCGGAUACGUCCGAGAGGAGAAAGAUUUAUCGCCGAGGGAUCGGCCCGCGUCUGAUUAGCUUGUUGGUGAGGUAACGGCUCACCAAGGCGACGAUCAGUAGCUGGUCUGAGAGGAUGAUCAGCCACAUUGGGACUGAGACACGGCCCAAACUCCUACGGGAGGCAGCAGUGGGGAAUAUUGGACAAUGGGCGCAAGCCUGAUCCAGCCAUGCCGCGUGAGUGAUGAAGGCCCUAGGGUUGUAAAGCUCUUUUACCCGGGAAGAUAAUGACUGUACCGGGAGAAUAAGCCCCGGCUAACUUCGUGCCAGCAGCCGCCGUAA